rnacentral:sRNA from 1 species
ACCUGAAGAACUUGGCACAACCACUGCAUUACCUCUCUCACCAUACAUAAAGCCCAGCCUUCAACGAUGAAGGGUGCGCUGCCCGAGAGAACGGGACCAGGACAAAGGCGUCCUCGCUAGGCAACUAGCGGGACGCC